rnacentral:rRNA from 1 species
GAUGAACGCUAGCGAUAGGCUUAACACAUGCAAGUCGAGGGGCAGCACAAGGUAGCUUGCUAUCUGGGUGGCGACCGGCGCACGGGUGCGUAACGCGUAUGCAACUUGCCCUAUACAGGAGGAUAACCCGUCGAAAGACGGACUAAUACUGCGUAUGCUCACAACUUGGCAUCAAGAAGUGAGGAAAGAAAUUCGGUAUAGGAUAGGCAUGCGUCCCAUUAGCUUGUUGGUGAGGUAACGGCUCACCAAGGCAACGAUGGGUAGGGGAACUGAGAGGUUUAUCCCCCACACUGGUACUGAGACACGGACCAGACUCCUACGGGAGGCAGCAGUGAGGAAUAUUGGUCAAUGGGCGAGAGCCUGAACCAGCCAAGUCGCGUGAAGGAUGACUGUCUUAUGGAUUGUAAACUUCUUUUAUACGGGAAUAACAAGAGUCACGUGUGACUCCUGCAUGUACCGUAUGAAUAAGCAUCGGCUAACUCC